UACAGAGGGUGCGAGCGUUGUCCGGAAUCACUGGGCGUAAAGGGCGCGUAGGCGGCUUGAUAAGCGUGCGGUGAAAGCCCGGGGCUCAACCCCGGGUCGGCCGUGCGAACUGUCGAGCUGGAGCACUGUAGAGGCAGGUGGAAUUCCGGGUGUAGCGGUGGAAUGCGUAGAGAUCCGGAAGAACACCGGUGGCGAAGGCGGCCUGCUGGGCAGUGGCUGA
rnacentral:rRNA from 1 species